UACGAGGGGGGCAAGCGUUGUUCGGAAUUACUGGGCGUAAAGAGCUCGUAGGUGGUUUGUCGCGUUGUUCGUGAAAAACUCACAGCUCAACUGUGGGCGUGGCGGGCGAUACGGGCAGACUGGAGUACUGCAGGGGGAGACUGGAAUUCCUGGUGUAGCGGUGGAAUGCGCAGAUAUCAGGAGGAACACCGGUGGCGAAGGCGGGUCUCUGGGCAGUAACUGACGCUGAGGAGCGAAAGCGUGGGGAGCGAACAGG
rnacentral:rRNA from 1 species